GUUCCUCCCGGCUCCACCGAGCCGCACUGGGGCUGUUGGCGACGCUCAAGUUCUCCGCGCGCCGCCUUCCCUUCGCCAUCUGCGCGCCCUCCCGGGACGAGCCGCGGAGCCGGGGUGCGUCGAGGAGGGAGGCGGCCGGCUGACUUCCCUGACCUGCGCGCGGGAUCUCCGCCUGGCCCUCGCGGAGCGUCGCGGGGAAGCACCUGCUCUCUCUGUCCCCGCACUCGGAGGCCGGGAGAAGCUCCAGAGUGACAGUGCUAGAGCCGAGUAGCACCUGGCUGGAGGGAGGGAAGGCCAGGUGGGGAGAGCCAAGUCGGAACUUGGCGUGCAGAGAGAAGGGGAUUCUUCCUUAGCCACCUUCAAACAUCUACAUGUAGGCUUCAAAUGCUUUGUUCUCCUGCAAAUAAGAGAUUAAUUACUUGCUGUGCUUUGAAUAUGAAGGUGGAGUUACAGAUGCAUCAAAGGAAAGGACAUUUUUAAAUUUACUUACUGACUUUGGUCAUGGUGGUGAUUUUCAGCAACCUAAAAAUGGUCAUCAAUCUGAUCAUCUUUUCCUCCAUCAUCCGAGUGCCUUCAUCCAGGCCCUUCCCACCUAUUCUCCAACAGUGCUCCCAGGGCCAUGGGAACCUUCUGCCAAGGGAGCAGAAGGAGGCUGGCUGACGCACUUGGACCCAAAUGCAAUGCCAACCUCAGGAGCUCUCGGCUCGCCAGUCAGACAUUCAGCCUCCACGGGAAGGAAUUUAUAUCAUCAACAACGAUUUCGCUGAACCACAACUCUGGGCGAGGCAACAGUAAGGUGCUUGGAGAGUUCAAAAUGUAGAUGACAACCCCUGCCCUCAAAGACAAUACUGAAUUGGAGAGACAGGGUGAAGAAAGACGACAAUAAAUAAGUUGUUUGGUUCAUUA